AUUUUGUAUGUGACCAAAAUAACUCAAAAUACUGUGACUGAGCCCCUUUAACUUCUUUUUCCUUGCUGUCUUUUUGUUCACCCGCUGCAAAUCUAGAACCAAGAGAAGACUUUGAUGUUCUCUUGAUUAAGCCCGUUCAUAUUAUUCAGUUGAUCAUUAAUUAUACAUUUAGUUAUUUAGAAAUGGCACAAACCCAAAAAGUGUUUCUAUCUGUAUUAAAAUAAAGUUCGAACUGGAGAGCCUACCGUAAACUUCCGAAGGACAACUACCUUCGUUACAUUCGGAAUUAACAGCUUUUGGGACUCGUUAUUUUCGGGGGGUCGUUAGUAUCGAGGUGUCGUUACUUUCGGGGAGCAAAAAACGUUAUGUAAAAGACGGAAAUUCGUAAAAAGAGUUCCUUAAACAGCAGAUUAAAUUCCUCGUUCCAGUUUAAAUCUAUGUUGCUGCCACAUGGGUUGGCUCUUCCUGCCUAGAUGUACGUUUUCUCAGUGGUCAACAGGAAAGCUAGCAAGAUACCGUAAAUUGUUUCUACUUAGUGACGCACUGCUAUGCUACUCUGCUUUAACAAUAUCUCAGUGCGUUGGCCGAGUUUUCAAUAUAAAUUUGAAGAAACGUUCCUCUCAAUACGCUCCUGUUGAAAAUGAUACCGAGUUUUCUAUUUUAAUUUUAAAAAGAGUUCAUGUUAGUACGUUCCUGCUACUUGAUGAAGAUUCUACUGGUUUUGUUUUAACACAGCGCAACAUGAACUCACGAAGCAUGACUUGACAUUUACAACGCUUCGUGGCAUAAGCGAUACCUUCUCUUGUUGUAAAGCUAAAGUGCCUUAAAUCAAGCGACCGUACGGUAACUUUCACCUGACUGUUUUCGGUGGGGUGGGGACUGAGUAGACUGGUUACUUUCGGGAAGGUCGCUACUCUCGGGAUUUAUUAGCGACCACAAUUUUAUGACGUUACUUUCGGGGAUCGUUGCUUUCGGACGUUUACGGUAAUUAACCGGUGGGUUUCUUCUUAGCUCCCCGUGUAAUUUAGUUUCCAUCAAGAGAGGGAGUUGCCGAUUACAAAUUAUAAAAAGUUGAAACUAUUGGCCAAUUUUAUCAAGUCUUUGAUUUCAAUCUAUGAUAUAUCUUCUUUGCUAUGGCCGUAUAAAAAUAUUUUUUAUCAUCAUCUCGGCAACCAAACUUUUCCUUGAGUAUUUCGGUUUCUGACGACUGUUAAAGAAAUAACAAACUUUCGAAAUGUACUGUGUUGCGCCAAACUACUCUCGGUCAAUGAUUUCCAUUGCAAAUUAUUCAAAGUGCACGUGCUGAUGCUGAUAAUUAUUCAUCUCGUGUUCAGUUAUUCGCCAACUCCGUCGUUGGUUCUUGUCAGUUCUGUCCUCAUUUCUACAAAAAAAGAGAAUUUAAGCUUGUUAAACUGAUGGUCAUGAUGUUACUACAAAAAGAGAGAGAUGCUCCAUAACCAGAUACGAUUAUUGGACCAAAACAACGAUCUAUUUGACGUGAAGAAAGGUACGCGUGCUUAAUCCUGGAGGUUCAGUCGAGCUUGAAUGUAGCUGCUACGUCUUUGGAUGAUAUUUAUCAGGGACAAGAAUCAAGACGGGCUUACAUGCCGUAACUCAGUCAUGUAUAGUUGAUUCGCCCUGCAGAUCCAAACCAGAGGGUUAGGGUUUAGGAAAAACAAGGCAAGACAAACGCUGCAAAGACUUGCCGAUGAACGAAAAUUGUUUUACGUCUCACCGGGGCUGACUUCAACACGUCAUUUGGAGGAUACGUAUCAUUUCAAUGCUGUAAUUCUGAUCCUUUACUAUGCUACAUUAAAUAACGAGGAGAUUUCAUGUUGAAUUGAAAGAAGUUAAUCGCACCAAUUGCAAUUGGAGACCGAUGCUACAUAAGAUAGCCGCAAGCUCUCAUCGUGUAGUGUUUUUUUUCUCCUUUGGUGAAUAUGCACAAAUAUAUUUAAUAAAGAACGCGAAAACUCGCUAAACAUUUAGUCAGAUUUAAAUGCAUCGAAGAAAAAAAACAUAAUAUUUUGGAACGAAAAGAAUUACGUUUUUAUAGGUUAUUUGUUAAUUCUUCGUCCUUUGGCCUGAAAGUAGUAUGCGCUUUUAAACGGUGCCUGGAAUUAUUUCAGAAAAAAAAAAAAGUCUUUUGGCGGGAAAAAACUCUGUGUC